rnacentral:rRNA from 1 species
CGAUGAGUAGGGCGGGACACGUGGUAUCCUGUCUGAAUAUGGGGGGACCAUCCUCCAAGGCUAAAUACUCCUGACUGACCGAUAGUGAACCAGUACCGUGAGGGAAAGGCGAAAAGAACCCCGGCGAGGGGAGUGAAAAAGAACCUGAAACCGUGUACGUACAAGCAGUGGGAGCACAGGUUUACCUGUGUGACUGCGUACCUUUUGUAUAAUGGGUCAGCGACUUAUAUUCUGUAGCAAGGUUAACCGMAUAGGGGAGCCGGAGGGAAACCGAGUCUUAAUUGGGCGUUAAGUUGCAGGGUAUAGACCCGAAACCCGGUGAUCUAGCCAUGGGCAGGUUGAAGGUUGGGUAACACUAACUGGAGGACCGAACCGACUAAUGUUGAAAAAUUAGCGGAUGACCUGUGGCUGGGGGUGAAAGGCCAAUCAAACCGGGAGAUAGCUGGUUCUCCCCGAAAGCUAUUUAGGUAGCGCCUCGUGAAUUCAUCUCCGGGGGUAGAGCACUGUUUCGGCYAGGGGGCCAUCCCGGCUUACCAACCCGAUGCAAACUGCGAAUACCGGAGAAUGUUAUCACGGGAGACACACGGCGGGUGCUAACGUCCGUCGUGAAGAGGGAAACAACCCAGACCGCCAGCUAAGGUCCCAAAGUCAUGGUUAAGUGGGAAACGAUGUGGGAAGGCCCAGACAGCCAGGAUGUUGGCUUAGAAGCAGCCAUCAUUUAAAGAAAGCGUA